AUCAAGGCCUCAUUAUACCGGAGGCCACACACAAUAUAUAAAAAAUGAACU
rfam:Pelodiscus sinensis unplaced genomic scaffold scaffold1173, whole genome shotgun sequence.